AAGGCACCCUGUGUGUCUCCCACGGCUUACCACGUCUGCCUGGGACUCAACGAAAGGGCCAGAGGGCCGAAGGCGACACCGGAGUCUCCGGCACGACCUUCCAGGGCCUCCAGGGAAUUUCUCACGCUGUCGGGGCGAAGACUGGCUCCCCUGGGGAUAUGUGUGUGUGUGUACUCCCCAGGGCCCCACGGAGGUCAGGGUCCUCUCCAUUCAGGACAGCAAGGAGAGAAUGGCCUGGAGUGAGGCCCUAGGGUUGGGGGCUAAAGCAGCACAGGGUAUCGGAAACGGGGUGCUGGCGUUCUUAGAGGGGACCGUAGGGAAGACUUGGAGUCUUGCACGCGCCUAGGGGAGCUACAGUGGGGAGGCAGCAGGGGGCCUCUCCUGACGAAUGGGGCUUUUGUAGGCGGCGAUCGCGGAGGGUUCCUUGCUCUAGGGUCGCCUCAUACAACCGCGGUGGUGCGGCGGGAGUGAGCAGGGCGCAGUGCGGUAGCCGUGGCACGGUGGGAGCCUCGUCUUCACCGGCUCUACCCGCAGGACCAGACCCCUGCAGCUCCCCAGCCACAUCAUCUCUCUAUUCCAUCUCUUUCCGCUGCAUCUCCGAGAAGAGUUUCCCGCCCCAGUGACCCAAGAGAGUGAGGCUAAGGGAGCGGUUCCGGGGCGUGUAUUCCGCAGGCUCAGGUGAGUGCGCGUGCGCCCGGUGGAGGCGGCCCUGCGCGCCUGCCGUAGGCCGCUUCCGGGACGCGCCCGGGGCUGCUUCGCGCGGGCUCGCUGAGGAACUCGGCUUCGCGGAUAGAGCGGGCGAAGACUCGGCGGGACCGCCGCGCACUGCAGCAGUCCCCCGCCCUGGCCAGUGAGGCCCAGAGGGAAAAGCCUCUCAAUUAAAAAAGCCACACCGCGUUGUCCCUCGGCUGCAGGCGCUGGGUUGGGUGUGUGCGGCUGGGCGCGGGCUCGGCUGAGGAGCUCGGCUUCGCGGACCAAGCGAGUGGCGGUGGGGCGAGGACGGCAGCGCGCUGAAGCAGUCCUGUGCCCUGGCCAGUGCAUCCAGAAUCCUGAACUGCCAGGGACCUGGCCACUCCCACCUGGAGCCCUGCCUUGGCUGAGCUGGUCACUGCUGCGUGUCCCGGGCUGCCAGCCUGCCUGUCAUCUGCAGUGCACAGUCUAG
rnacentral:lncRNA from 13 species